rnacentral:lncRNA from 1 species
UCUAUGUUGACUUCAAGAUAAUUGACAGGUCAAGUCCAUGCUUUGAUUCUCAUCCUCGCGGCGUCGCCCAUAGGCUGCAGCGAGGCAGCAACUGCAGACAUUGUCACAAACAAUCGCUUCCUAACCAUACACCAACAGACGGACAACUACAUCGUGGUGUUUGCAUCAAUGAUUCAUGUCUGUUGCAAAUAAUGGAGGGCACCGGCGGCCGACGAGCCACCCGGCAGCACCCCAUCCACCCAACCUCAAGACCGCCGCGCCAGAUGACGGUCCCGCUAGCCAAAAGGCCAGCGCAGGGGCGCAGCGAGCCCGGUGACCGAGGGAGAGGGUGGGGG